rnacentral:lncRNA from 1 species
AUGAGAAAGUGUCAGAGAGGUGAAGGGACCUGCCCAGGGUCACACAGUAAACCCGCAUGGGUGAGGGCAGAGCAAGCCAGGGCAAGUCUGGUGGGGCGGGCCGGGUUGGGCAAGGCCUGGAUGCAGGCUUCCUUUCCCUUUGCCUUGACCCUGAGCGGCAGGCGGUGCAAGGUGUGCUGUGCGAGGGCGACAGCAGGCAGAGCCGCCUCCUGGGACUCGUGCGCUGCUGUCCGGAGCGAGGUGGCCAGGAACACGCUCUCUUCCUGUAUACGCACCGGAGGAUGGCCAUUACCGGGGACGAUGUCUCCUUGGACCAGAUCGUGCCAGUCUCUCGGGAUUUCACACUGGAAGAAGUGUCCCCGGAUGGUGAGCUCUACAUUCUUGGCUCAGAUGUCACCGUCCAGCUGGACACAGCAGAGCUCAGCCUCCUUUUCCAGCUCCCCUUUGGUUCACACACCAGAACGUUCCUCCAGGAAGUUGCCAGGGCCUGUCCAGGCUUCGUCCCAGCGAUCCCAGAUCCUGAGUUCCUGUGGCUGUCUCGAUACAGGUGCACUGAGCCGAAGCCCGAGCCGCCCACGCCGCGAAGCUGGAAUUCGGCCCCAGGCACCUGGCCGGGGCGUGCCAGAAUUGGCGGAGGCAGGUAUCGGUCUUGGAAGGCGCGAAAGGGAUUGGAGGAGACCUCGCCUCGGGACGGGCCCCGUUCUGUUUGGGGGCGGGGCUACAAAGCAGACAGGCCUUCGAUUGGCGGGGGUGGCACGCGGGGGCGGGCUCCUUUGGGGGGCGGAGCUGGGGGCGGAGCGGCUCGGGCAGCGAGAUGAAGAGCUUGAGGAAGCUGGCAGGGAAAUGUCCGCCGCCGACGGCUCUCGGGAGCGCGACUCUGCAGGUGGUUCUUCCUCUGACGAGCUGAGACCAAAUGGGAAGGGCCUGCCUGUGGACCAAAGCUCCUGGGGUCAGAAUAAACCAGAAAACUCGCUCUCAAGACAGAACAAGUCCAAAUCUGAAAUAAGCAACAUGGUUCGCUCCUCUACUAUCACAGUAUCAGACAAGGCUCACAUUUUAUCCAUGCAGAAGUUUGGACUGCGAGAUACAAUUGUGAAAUCACAUCUAAUACAGAAAGAAGAGGAUUAUACCUACAUCCAGAACUUCAGAUUUUUUGUAGGAACGUACAAUGUGAACGGACAGUCCCCCAAGGAGUGCCUCCGGCCCUGGCUCAGCCACGAUACCCAGGCCCCAGAUGUGUACUGUGUGGGGUUCCAGGAGCUUGAUCUGAGUAAGGAAGCCUUUUUCUUCCACGAUACCCCAAAGGAGGAAGAGUGGUUUAAAGCUGUAUCAGAGGGUCUUCAUCCAGACGCCAAAUAUGCAAAGGUGAAGCUCAUCCGACUGGUUGGGAUUAUGCUGCUGCUAUAUGUCAAACAGGAGCAUGCCGCGUACAUCUCAGAAGUGGAAGCUGAGACAGUAGGGACAGGAAUCAUGGGGAGAAUGGGUAACAAAGGGGGCGUGGCCAUCCGGUUCCGGUUUCACAACACCAGCAUCUGCGUGGUCAAUUCCCACCUGGCAGCCCACACGGAGGAGUACGAGAGGAGGAACCAGGACUACAAAGACAUUUGUUCUCGAAUGCAGUUCUGUCAGGUCGACCCAAGCCUGCCCCCUCUCACCAUCAGCAAGCACGAUGUGAUCUUGUGGCUGGGGGACCUCAACUACAGGAUAGAAGAUCCAGAUGUGGAAAAAGUGAAAAAACUCAUCGAAGAGAAGGCCUUUCAAACGCUGUAUGCAUAUGACCAGCUGAGAGCUCAGGUGGCUGCAAAGGCUGUCUUCGAGGGCUUCAGUGAGGGUGAGCUCACGUUCCAGCCUACCUAUAAGUAUGAUACUGGCUCCGAUGACUGGGAUACCAGCGAGAAGUGUCGUGCUCCUGCCUGGUGUGACCGGGUCCUCUGGAAAGGGAAGAACAUCACUCAGCUGAGCUACCAGAGCCACAUGGCCCUGAAGACCAGUGACCACAAGCCUGUCAGCUCAGUGUUUGACAUUGGGGUGAGGGUCAUCAAUGAAGAGCUGUAUCGGAAAACUCUGGAGGAGAUUGUUCGCUCCCUGGAUAAGAUGGAAAACGCCAAUAUCCCUUCCGUGUCCCUCUCCAAGCGAGAGUUCUGCUUUCAGAAUGUGAAGUACAUGCAUCUGCAGGUAGAGUCCUUCACCAUUCGGAAUGGGCAGGUGCCGUGUCAGUUUGAGUUCAUCAGCAAGCCUAACGAAGAGUCCUACUGUAAGCAGUGGCUUCGCGCCAGCCCCAGCAGAGGGUUCCUCCUGCCAGAUUCUUCCGUUGAGAUUGAAUUAGAGCUAUUUGUAAAUAAGACCACAGCUACAAAGCUCAACUCGGGUGAAGACAAAAUCGAGGACAUUCUGGUUUUGCACUUGGACAGAGGAAAGGAUUACUUCUUGUCUGUGUCUGGGAACUACAUGCCAAGCUGCUUCGGAUCGCCCAUUCACACGUUGUGCUACAUGAAGGAGCCAAUUUUGGACUUGCCACUAGAAACCAUUAGAGAGCUGACUCUGAUGCGACUCCAGACUGAAGAUAAUGGGAGCCAAUUGGAGAAACCCAUGGACAUCCCCAAGGAGCUCUGGAUAUUGGUUGAUUACCUGUACCGAAAUGCCAUCCAGCAGGAAGAUCUGUUUCAGCAGCCAGGCCUGAGGUCAGAAUUUGAUCAUAUCAGGGACUGUUUAGAUACUGGGACGAUUGAUAACCUCUCUGCCAGCAAUCAUUCUGUGGCCGAAGCCCUGCUGCUCUUCUUGGAGAGCCUGCCAGAGCCUGUCAUCUGUUUCAGCGCCUACCGCAACUGCUUGGAGUGUUCCGGCAACCUCACAGCAAGUAAACAGGUCAUUACUACCCUUCCUGCGUGCCACAGAAAUGUCUUCACCUAUUUGAUGGCGUUUUUGCAAGAAUUGCUGAAAAAUUCAGCAAAAAACCAUUUGGAUGAUAAUAUUCUAGCCAGCAUAUUUGGUAGCCUGCUGCUUCGAAACCCAGCUGGUCACCAAAAGCUUGAAAUGGCAGAAAAGAAGAAGGCUCAAGAAUUUGUUCACCAGUUCCUCACUCACCCCGAGCCUCUUUCUCUCCUCUCCUAUUCUGCCUGAGACAGCCAGUUACCCGCCCCACCUGUUUCAGCUCCAGAGCUGCCCUAAGAGGAUAUGAGCCCACAGGGAAGCCUGAGUGGCAGCUGCCUGUUUCUUGAGCCCAGACUGCCCUCUCCACCAUGACCAUCACACUCAGUGCUGCUGCGAAGAGUGAAGACAUUGUGAAGACAUUGAGGGGAAGUCCACCACAGUAAAACUGACAUGCAGCGUUCAACUUUAGUUUUUUAACAGAUUUUUUUUUUUUAAACGUUUAAACAGCCAUACUCCUUGUGCUCAACCUGCUUCCAAGACAUACAGUGCCUUCCCUGUAGCUUGAGCCGAGCUCCCCACAAUCAGAUAUUUGAACAGACUUUGGAGUCCUGAAGGAUGAAUGAGGAUGCAAAUACAAAGAAUGUAAAUGGAAGCUGCUGGAUAAACAGGCCACACAGCUUCUCCAGGUGCUUUCAGCGCUCU